GACGAACGCUGGCGGCGCGCUUAACACAUGCAAGUCGAGCGAAGCGGCGGACGGGUGAGUAACACGUGAGUAACCUGCCUUAGACAUUGGGAUAGCCUCGGGAAACCGGGAUUAAUACCAAAUGGUCUAAGAUGGAUUCGCGUCCCAUUAGCUAGUUGGUGGGUAACGGCCCACCAAGGCGACGAUGGGUAGCCGGCCUGGGAGGGUGAACGGCCACAUUGGAACUGAGAACCGGUCCAAACUCUACGGGCGGCAGCAGUGGGGAAUAUUGAACAAUGGAGGGAACUCUGAUGCUGCGACGCCGCGUGAACGAAGAAGGCUUUCGAGUCGUAAAGUUCUUUUAUAUGGGAAGCGGUACCAUAAGAGAAAGCCCCGGCUAACUACGUGCCAGCAGCCGCGGUAAUUC
rnacentral:rRNA from 1 species